CAAUCAAUGGAAUCCAAACCCUCAACCGGAUCGGAUAUGAAAGCCCAAACUUGAAAUAUGAAAGCCUUCUUCUCCGAAUCCCGUUCCCCUUUCUCUCUGAACAAUCAAUGGAGUCCAAACCCUCAACCGGAUUCGGACCCUCCAGUAGUCUUCUACUUUCUCUUUCCACCUUCGUCCACCAGCACUGCUCCCGACUCGGUGCCGAACUCACCAAUCGUUUCGACGAAGCGAAACGGCUCAGUUCAAAAAUCGCCGCCGAUUUUAUUCAGCAGCCACUGCCGGAGGCGAUAGGGAGGAGUUGCUCGUUGCCGUCGCAUUCCUAUCCACUAUCUCUUCCGUUCGCUUCAGUUUCGCAGCGUCAAGAGAAGGUCGCGAAAAACAGCGGUUUGAGCUCGGAUUAUGUGGCUAAGACAUUAACUGGAACUUCUGUAUACACUGUUAGCAAUUCUAACAAUGAAUUCGUCCUCAUUUCCGACCCGAAUAGUGCAAAAUCAAUCGGAUUAUUGUGUUUCCGUCAAGAAGACGCCGAGGCAUUUCUUGCUCAGGUACGCUUGCGGAAGGGGGAAGUAAGGGGUGGAGCUAAGGUUGUUCCGUUGACACUUGAUCAGGUUUACAUGUUGAAGGUUGAAGGAAUCGCAUUUCGGUUUUUGCCAGAUCCUGUUCAAAUUAAGAAUGCAAUGGAGUUAAAAGCUUCUGAUGUAAAGACCGGAUUUGAUGGAGUCCCUGUUUUCCAGUCAGAUCUCCUAGUUGUGAAAAAGAGAAACAGACGAUACUGUCCAAUAUACUUUCGAAAGGAGGAUAUAGAAAAGGAGUUAUCGUCAAGGGCAUCUAGAGGCUCUAGUGUCUCUCAGCACAUUAUGGUAGGGACUUUGGAAGAUGUCCUUAAAAAAAUGGAGAUAAGUCAGAGAAAUUCUGGCUGGGAGGAUCUUAUCUUUAUUCCCCCGGGUAAAAGCCAUUCCCAGCACAUUCAAGAUGUUACAAAAGCAUGAAUCUCUUGCAUGCAGCUCCUGUUUGAAACAAAUUAAAAUAGAGGCAGGUUCACAUUCUCCUCUGCAUUUGGUCAACCCAAAGAAUCCAAAUAGUUAAGCUCCGUACUGCUGAAUUAGCUUAAAGAUACACAAAGGAUCAAGUUUUGCUUGAAAAUUUAAUGGAGGGAACAACAAGCAUGUUAUACAUUAAAAGUCAAUGAGUUGGUAACUAGAGGCACAAUUUACUUGGUGUCAUCUGUACAUUGCACAGUUUGAAUCGAUGAAUUAUGUUUUCACUCUUUUACCAAUCUUCUAUAUUGAUGAGGUAACUUUAGUUGGUAAUACAUUCACUAUUUCAUACUUUUGGAGGUCAUUCUGAUCAGUGGCUGAAAUUCAAUCAUAUCUGGUGACUUUAUUAACCUCAUGUUCUUGAAUUUUGGUGUGUCGUUUUGUUUAUGUCAUCCAGUGUUAUUAGUCUUGA